AAGUCGUAACAAGGUUUCCGUAGGUGAACCUGCGGAAGGAUCAUUAACACGUUUCCACGUCUAUGCUCCUUGUGUCUCCAUAUCAAACUAAACGUGAACUGGUAACUUCUCCCUAGUAUUCUUCUGGCCCAAAUCUGCCAUCUGUAGGUGGGUGUGUUCUUUACUGAGCAUGCCAUUUGGUUGAUUCAGUCGCUUCGGGCGGCAAGCUGGUUGAAUGUUAGGCAAUUAGAAAUCUCUGAUAGACUUUCCUUACCUAAAGGCUAUCGGAGAUGCAAAGCAAAACAAAAUAUCCACCCUUCUUAAAACAUUUGACUAAUACUUUCACUUAGCGAAAGCUAAGCUUGAAUUGAGUUAUUUCAUAACUAAGCACAACUCUUAGCAAUGGAUAUCUCGGUUCUC
rnacentral:misc_RNA from 1 species